rnacentral:rRNA from 1 species
UACAGAGGGGGCAAGCGUUGUUCGGAAUUACUGGGCGUAAAGGGCGCGUAGGCGGCCUUCUAAGUCGAACGUGAAAUCCCCGGGCUCAACCCGGGAACUGCGUCCGAUACUGGAUGGCUUGAAUCCGGGAGAGGGAUGCAGAAUUCCAGGUGUAGCGGUGAAAUGCGUAGAUAUCUGGAGGAAUACCGGUGGCGAAGGCGGCAUCCUGGACCGGCAUUGACGCUGAGUGAGCGAAAGCUAGGGGAGCAAACGGG